UGUUUUGGCAGCACAUUUACUAAAAAAAAAUUGGAAUGAUACAGAGAAGAUUAGCAUGGCCCCUGCGUAAGGAUGAAUGCAAAUUUGUGAAACAUUCCAUAAAAAA
rnacentral:snRNA from 2 species